UUUAAGUUUUAUUUAGAUAAAAUGUUACAGAUUUUUAAUAUCAGCCAUUUAUCAGUUAUUGGCCGUAACAUAAUCGAUAUUUUAAUAUUGGUGCAUCUCUUGGCUAGCAUUAAAAUCGGUAUGAAACUGAUGUUUCGAUAGUCUUUUUUUCCUAUUGUCACGUAAAUCCGAGUAAAACUGCUUCUCAAACAAGAACAAAUGUAGGGCGGGGCUUGAUUUUGUCUGUGGGGAAUUGAUUGGAUGGUUGUGGUUUGCUAUUGGUGGAUCUCAUGUGAGUGACAGGUUGCUCCGCCCUCAUCAUCAGAGAAGAGAAAAGAUGUCGCUGCAAGAGGGAGGGGAAGUUAUUUUGAUUAAAGAUUAUGAGGCACUUUAAUAAAAAAAAAAAAAAAAUAGUGAUCUGCCUGGAUAAAUCAUUUAUAAUAAGUGCUGCAAUAUUCCAUUAGAAAAAAAAAACAAGAAAUGUCCAUUUUGAUUUCAUGGUGACUUUAAAGUGAACAGCUCUAGUGAAGUGUGCAUCAUUCUUGCAGACGUGCCGUGGAUCGUUCACCCUCCAUCUCUGAGCGCUUUGAUCGGACGCAGGAGCUGCAGCGAAACCCCAAAGCUCAGAUCAGGUUACGGGCAUUUUUAAUGUCGAGAGGGGAGAAGCCCCUGACAGAGAAGUCAAGCCACCGCUGGGCACGGAUCUGUAAUUAGCAAUUAGCGGGUGGGUCCACGUUUUGCUAAGGCCUGAGCCAAAGCCACAAAAUGUUCUCCUGCUUAUAAUACCCAACUUGUGCACGACAUGCAGAGCGAGAAAGAUGGAGAAAGAGGGGCAAACGGCACAAAUAACAUCAAAGCUAACAUUGUGGCGAACGCCGCAGGGGGGAAUCCAUCGCACGGCACUCACGUGAGCAAAAAAUGCCAAAUCCCCAUGUGUGACUUGAGGGGAAAAACAUGGCUUUUGGAUGGGCCGUGUUUCUGGUCAAGCAAAAGUUCUCUUUUUCUCUCUGGUAAUUAUUAUUUAUAGUCAGUGUCUUGAUAGCGCACCAACACAAACACUGCGGCCCAUCAUUUCUCGGUGCACGGCGGCGAUGUAGCUUCGCCACAAAUUGUUCAGACCACUGUCCAAAGCCCAGAAUCCCAUAAUUCACUGUCAGAAAGUGUGUGUGUGUGACGGGAGAGAGAAGAAAACCAAUGAAACACCACCUAGCGGUGUGAGGAACCUUUAAAGUGCCCCAAUUAUGCUAUUUUACAGGUUUUUAAUUUAGUUUUUGAGUCUCCUACAGCAGGUUUACAAGCAUCCAAGAUCAAAAACACUUUCAUUUCCUCAUCAUAUCCACUGCAGCAUCAGCUCUUUUCUCAGUGUCUGAAAUGAUUUGAUCAAGGAUUCGGUCUCUCUAAACCCCGCCUCUUCUCUGAUUGGUCAGAUGGCCUCAGUCUCUUGUGAUUGGUCAACCUCUUACAGUGCAUGUUGGAAGUUCAGCUCCGGAGGCUUCCUUGAUAGACAGUGAUAUGAACAGGAAAAUGGCAUUGGUUUUUUGCUAGGGCAUUGCUAGAGGGUUGCUAGGGUGUUGCUAGGUGGUUGCUAGGGCAUUUUAGGUAGUUGCUAUGAAAUUGCUAGAUGAUUGCAAGGGUAUUGUAAAUGGUUGCUAGGGUGUUGCUAGAUGGUUCUUAGGUAGUUGCUAUGAAAUUACUAGAUGAUUGUGAAGGUGUUGUAGAUGGUUGCUUGGGUGUUAUUAGAUGGUUGCUAGGGUGUUGCUAGAUGGUUCUUAGAAUGUUCUAGGUUGUUGCUAGGGAAUUGCUAGAUGAUUGCUAGGGUGUUGUAGAUGGUUGCUAGGGUGUUGCUAGAGUUUUACCUAGGAUGUUUUAGGUAGUUGCUUUGAAAUUACUAGAUGAUUGUGAGGGUGUUGUAGAUGGUUGCUAGGGUGUUGCUAGAUGGUUCUUAGGAUGUUCUAGGUUGUUGCUAGGGAAUUCCUAGAUGAUUGUGAGGGUGUUGUAGAUGGUUGCUAGGGUGUUGCUAGAUGGUCCUUAGGAUGUUCUAUGUCGUUGUUGGGGAAUUGCUAGAUGGUUGCUAGGAUGUUUUAGGUAGUUGCUAUUGCUAGGGUGUUGCUAGAUGGUUCUUAGGAUGUUCUAGGUAGUCUCAAUGAAAUUGCUAGAUUAUUGCUAGGGUGCUGUAGAUGGUUGCUAGGGCGCUUUAGGUAGUUGCUAUUUCUAGGGUGUUGUAGAUGGUUGCUAGGGUGUUGCUAGAUGGUUCCUAUGAUGUUCUAGGUAGUUUCUGUGACAUUUCUAGAUGAUUGCUAGGGCGCUGUAGAUGGGUGCUAGGAUGUUCUAGGUAGGUGCUAUAAAAUUGCUAGAUGGUUGCUAGGGCGUUGCUAGAUGGUUCCUAUGAUGUUCUAGGUAGUUUCUGUGACAUUUCUAGAUUAUUGCUAGGGUGCUGUAGAUGGUUACUAGGAUGUUCUAGGUAGGUGCUAUGAAAUUGCUAGAUGGUUGCUAGGGUGCUGUAGAUGGUUGCUAGGAUGUUCUAGGUAGGUGCUAUGAAAUUGCUAAAUGGUUGCUAGGGUGUUGUUAGAUGGUUGCUAGGAUGUUCUAGGUAGGUGCUAUGAAAUUGCUAGAUGGUUGCUAGGGUGUUGCUAGAUGGUUCCUAUGAUGUUCUAGGUAGUUUCUGUGAUAUUUCUAGAUGAUUGCUAGGGUGUUGUUGAUGGUUGCUAGGGUGUUGACAGAUGGUUCCUAUGAUGUUCUAGGUAGUUGCUAUGACAUUUCUAGAUUAUUGCUAGGGUGCUGUAGAUGGUUGCUAGGGUGUUGUAGAUGGUUGCUAGGGUGUUGUAGAUGGUUGCUAGGGUGUUGCUAGAUGGUUCCUAUGAUGUUCUAGGUAGUUGCUAUGACAUUUCUAGAUUAUUGCUAGGGUGUUGCUAAAUGGUUCUUAGAAUGUUCUAGGUGGUUGAUAGGGAAUUGCUAUAUGUUUGCUAGUGUGUUUUGCUAGAUGUUUUUACAACUUUUUUAUCCUCAAUUAUGCUUAUUAUUUUGCAUUUAGGAUCAUUUUGAGCAAGUAUGCGAUUUAUGCAAAUGAAAUUUUUGUGUAGUUGAUUAUUUUAGCACUAGCAUAACCAUGUCACAACAAGCAGGCAGAAGCGUUUCCAUCAUCAUUGAUUACAGUAUCAUAUGUAUUAUAGUUUUUAUUAAUAGUUUGAAUUAUAUUUUUAUAUUUUCUGUUUUCAUUUUAAUUUAUUAAUUUUAGUAAUUUUGUGUUUUUGUCAUUUUUAUUAGGUUAUUUUGUCUAUAUUGUUUUCAUUAAGUUGUAGUUUAUUUUUUAGUAGUUAGGCUUAAACCAAAAUAAUGUCUUGUCAACUACCUGAAUUUUUGUUUUGAUUUUUUUUUUACUUCAGUUUUAUUUCAAGUAAUGCAGAUGUUUUUUAUUUAACAUUUUAUGGUUUUAUUAACCCUGGUUAGCAGUUAGUAUCUUUCAGAUCUCUUCAAAGACCGAUGUCAUCAGACCGGUCCGUCUGUUUAUGGGUGUAUGUUGGUGGAUUAGUGGCUAAUGUAGUCUUUAAAUACAGGCUAAAGGGUUCAAAUGCCUGGCUAAUUAUCCAGCUAACCGCUUCAAUGAUUAAUGGAUUCUUCUGACUAAUUAAAUGUUAAUAAAAGCACGUCAGGGUGGGUAGUGCACAUGCCGUGUGGUAAUUUUCCAACCGCCGUUCUUCAUUUCUCCAGUGUAUCAUAAAAAAAAAAUUUUAAAGCCAAAAAAUAUUUUAAAAAAAUACAAGAUUGCUAAAGUAAGUAAUAUUUUAUUAGAAAAUAACAGACUAAAAUAAUAGAAUAAUAAUAAUAAUAAUAAAAAAAGAUUUUGACACCAGUUGAUUUGCUUUGCCUAAAAGCGCCAUCUAGUGGCCAGUACAUAUAGACGUCUGAUUCAAGUCUCACAUCUGAUCACAGUUUGGGUGUUUGAGAGUAGUUUCAGCUACAGUCACAGACUAGAGUAUAUAAUGCACAGCAGUUUAGAUACAUGAAGAACAUCACCUCAGGUAAUAUAUUUCCAUCAGACACCUGAGGAACUUUGCUUUCAGCAGAAUCUAUCGUUACACUAAAGUCCUGCAUCUUGAGAAUAAUGUUGCCUUCAAGUCCCUGUGGGUUGAUCAUAUUUCUGAGCGCUCGUGAACGCCACCACAAUCUCGUUAAGUGUCCUUUUCAUGAACGUAAUGAACGAACCUACCUGUUUCUGUGCGGCAUAUUAUCAGACAAGCUUUUUGACUCAUAAUGUGCCGCACAGUAACAGGUAUAUAUUUUUUACUGUGAUAAUUUAACAAAUGUCAUUUCAUUUCAAAGUUAAUUUCUAUCAGUUUAUGUGCAUAUUUUAA